rnacentral:rRNA from 1 species
UCGAGGGGAAACGAUAGAGAAAGCUUGCUUUUUCUAGGCGUCGACCGGCGCACGGGUGAGUAACGCGUAUCCAACCUGCCCAUCACUUGGGGAUAGCCUUUCGAAAGAAAGAUUAAUACCCAAUGACGUCUCUAGAAGACAUCUGAAAGAGAUUAAAGAUUUAUCGGUGAUGGAUGGGGAUGCGUCUGAUUAGCUUGUUGGCGGGGUAACGGCCCACCAAGGCUACGAUCAGUAGGGGUUCUGAGAGGAAGGUCCCCACAUUGGAACUGAGACACGGUCCAAACUCC